AAUUUGACUUCGUGCGUUUGAAUUGGUAGGUUUGACUUGGUAAGUUUGACUUGGUAAGUUUGACUUUGUAGGUUUGACUUGGUAAGUUUGACUCGUUAAGUUUGACUUGGUAAGUUUGACUUGGUAAGUUUGACUUGUUAAGUUUGACUCGUUAAGUUUGACUCUUAAGUUUGACUGGGUAAGUUUGACUUGGUAAGUUUGACUUGGUAAGUUUGACUUGGUAGGUUUGACUUUGUAGGUUUGACUUGGUAAGUUUGACUGGUAGUUACAGCUGACUUAGACAUUAUUUUACUAUGUUUUUUUCCCUCGUUACAUGCUUCAAAUGACUAAUUUCAAUUUUCUAUGUCGUAUUCUCUAUUUU